AUCCAGCUGACGAUUCCCAAAUAGAACGAAAUGCGCGUCCUGGAU
rfam:Schistosoma mansoni, Puerto Rico, WGS project CABG01000000 data, contig: 0160